AAAAAAAAAACAAACAAUUUAAGAAGGCAAAAGGAAUUUUCCCGAAACUCAUCAUUUUUCCUCUAUCUCUCGCCGUCUCUCCCGUUUCGUCUUCUUUUCUUUGAGUCGUCGACCCUUUUUGUUCCUUUGAUUUUAUGUGUGUUUUUCUUUUUGGGAAAUCGAGAGAUUUAGAGUUGCACUUUGAAUAGAGGAAAA
rnacentral:ribozyme from 1 species